UAUGAUGAAUGGGAUGAAUAAGGUAUUGAGAGAUUUUAUUCCGAAAAAGACUAUGCCUUUUUUGGAUGAUGUUCCUAUAAAAGGGUGCAGAGAAGGAGACAAGGAUGAAACUUUAGAUACGAAGGGGUGUCGCAGAUAUGUUGUUGAUCAUAUACAAGAUUGUGAAAAGAUUUUAACUCGGCUUGGAGAAGUUCAUCUUACAUUAUCGGGUAUGAAGUCCGUAUU
rnacentral:lncRNA from 1 species